GCCUGCUCAAGGAUUCCCACGCAGGGCAGGCGGGGGUCACCCACCCUGAGGAGGCACUGACCCGACACUCUUGGCCUCGGGACCAGCCUCCCGGAGGAGAGGCCAAGAAUGGACCCCCAAGUGCAGCCGCCCCGGUACAGCCGCUGGCCUCUCUGCUCAGUCUGCUGGCUCCUCCCGGGAGUUCACCUACGCCAAGCCUGCCUCCACUUCUCCAGGCCCCUGCUGGCGACGGCCCCAGUUCUUUGCCCCCCUUCCAGGACUUCAACAGCCAACUCCUCAGCCUCUUUGGUCAGCUGGCCUCCACGUCUUCCGAACAGAUCUCAGGGAGUUCCCCACAGCCGAAACCUCCCACCUCCCCGCUUGCAUCCCAUGGACCCCCAGGUGCUGCUGCUGCUGCUGCUGCUUCGGCUUCACUCAUGACUCCCAAAGCCCCUCCCACCCCCAGCCCUGUUACUCUCACCACCAGCACAGUGGAAGGUGGGGGCGUGGGCUGCCCGCUGCCCGCAGGCCCCGAUCCAUUCCCCUUCCUGGCACAGGAGCAAGCGCUGCCGUUUGGGAAUGCUCUACCUCCUGGGCUGUUCCCGCUGGGCUCCUUCCCCUUCUCGCUGACCUUGGGCCCAGAGACACCACUUCCCCCUCUUAACCUGCAGGAGGAGCCAGACGGACAGCCCCUGUUGCCUCUGGUGCUGCCCAGCCUGGAUUUGCUACAACAGCCAAGUGGGCUCCUGGCAUCCCUGUUGGCGCUGCCAGAGGCGGCUUGCGAAGGGCAGAGGGAAGCGGCGACCACGGAGCCAUUGUUGGAGCCCUUCGCCGGCUUGCCUGACACUCUGCAGCCCCUGCUCUUCCCAGCACUUUCCACCCCUCCAGCUGUCCUAGCUUUAAAUUCAGCAUUGUUGGCAACCGGCCUGGGCCCUUCUGACACAGGACCGAUCCCUACGCAGACUGGCCUGGCUAGCACUCCCGUGGCACCUACCUCCACUAACACCACACCGACAACUACUGAGGGGACCCCCUGUGUCUCUGGGCGGCUGAAUCCCAUAUUGCCCCAGCUUGUCAAUCCGCUGCUGAGUACCACACUUCUGGGUGACCUUCCAUCCCUGAAUCCAGCUUCAGGCCCCUCAUUGAUGGGAAGUCCUCUUCUCCAGGCCCAGCAGCCUCUUUUGCCACCCAAUCUGCAAGGGCCUCUCGGAAUCCAGCUUUUCCAAGGACAGCUGCCCUUACUAGCAGGCUCCAACCCGCUGGCUUGCCUCCUCCAGAGCUUACAGCUAAGCACUGGCUUCAGUGCCCCAGAGAAACUGGUGCUACCCAGUGAGCCUCCAGCCUCAGCCUUGUCCAGCAUGCUCCCUGUGCCAGAGACUGAGCCAAGCCACCAGGCUAUCUUGCCCCCUUGCACGGACACUGCCCUCACAAGUGCCUUAGAGUCGCCCAGAGCCCUUGAGCCAGCCAGGCAAGGGGAGCAGGAGGCCGCCUCAGGGCAAGAAGCCAGCGGUUCCCACUCCCCCCACAAGCGGCUCAGAUGUAGCCCAGAAGAGCUGAAUGGGGACUCUGCCAGCAGUCUUUCACGCGGAUCACUCCGGGGCAGCAAGACUGGACGUCGUGGGGGCGGGCGGGGGCGGGGCAGGCGGCACUUCAAUGGACAACUUCCUGAGUUGGGCUCAGGACAUCUCUCGCAUCCCACCUGGCGUUGCAAUGGGGAAAUGGUGGCUAGCAGUGAAGAAACCCAAGCAGGUCCUUUUGCUGUUCAGGAGAUAAAGGUAAGUCGAAGGGUUUCAGUGG
ensembl:lncRNA